AGAGUUUGAUCAUGGCUCAGAACGAACGCUGGCGGCAGGCCUAACACAUGCAAGUCGAACGCUGUAGCAAUACAGAGUGGCAGACGGGUGAGUAACGCGUGGGAAUCUACCCAAUGGUACGGAAUAACUCAGGGAAACUUGAGCUAAUACCGUAUGUGCCCGAAAGGGGAAAGAUUUAUCGCCAUUGGAUGAGCCCGCGUCGGAUUAGCUAGUUGGUGGGGUAACGGCCCACCAAGGCGACGAUCCGUAGCUGGUCUGAGAGGAUGAUCAGCCACACUGGGACUGAGACACGGCCCAGACUCCUACGGGAGGCAGCAGUGGGGAAUAUUGGACAAUGGGCGCAAGCCUGAUCCAGCCAUGCCGCGUGAGUGAUGAAGGCCCUAGGGUUGUAAAGCUCUUUCGACGGGGACGAUAAUGACGGUUCCCGUAGUAGAAGCCCCGGCUAACUUCGUGCCAGCAGCCGCGGUA
rnacentral:rRNA from 1 species